UGGGGCGUGAUCGGCGUUGCCGGGCUCGUGGCCUACCAUGCCUCGCAGCUGCCGCCGAUCGACCAGCUCGCCGUGCCGAAGCGGCCGCCCAAC
rnacentral:tRNA from 1 species